rnacentral:rRNA from 1 species
CGGGGUGCAGCAGGCGCGAAACCUCUGCAAUAGGCGAAAGCUUGACAGGGUUACUCUGGGUGACGUCCGUUAAGGACGUCUUUUGGCACCUCUAAAAAUGGUGCAGAAUAAGGGGUGGGCAAGUCUGGUGUCAGCCGCCGCGGUAAUACCAGCACCCCGAGUGGUCGGGACGAUUAUUGGGCCUAAAGCAUCCGUAGCCGGUUCUGCAAGUCUUCCGUUAAAUCCACCUGCUCAACAGAUGGGCCGCGGAGGAUACUACAGGGCUAGGAGGCGGGAGAGGCAAGCGGUACUCAGUGGGUAGGGGUAAAAUCCUCUGAUCCACUGAAGACCACCAGUGGCGAAGGCGGCUUGCCAGAACGCGCUCGACGGUGAGGGAUGAAAGCUGGGGGAGCAAACCGGAUUAGAUACCCGGGUAGUCCCAGCUGUAAACGAUGCAGACUCGGUGAUGGGUUGGCUUCGAGCCAACCCAGUGCCGCAGGGAAGCCGUUAAGUCUGCCGCCUGGGGAGUACGGUCGCAAGAGUGAAACUUAAAGGAACG